rnacentral:rRNA from 1 species
UACGGAGGGGGCUAGCGUUGUUCGGAAUUACUGGGCGUAAAGCGCACGUAGGCGGCGAUUUAAGUCAGAGGUGAAAGCCUGGAGCUCAACUCCAGAACUGCCUUUGAGACUGGAUUGCUAGAAUCUUGGAGAGGCGAGUGGAAUUCCGAGUGUAGAGGUGAAAUUCGUAGAUAUUCGGAAGAACACCAGUGGCGAAGGCGGCUCGCUGGACAAGUAUUGACGCUGAGGUGCGAAAGCGUGGGGAGCAAACAGG